CAAAGAUUAAGCCAUGCAUGUGUAAGUACACACCUUCCUUAUGGCGAAACCGCAAACGGCUCAUUAAAUCAGUCAUAAUUUAUUGGAUGGUGUUUAUCCUUUACUCGGAUAACCGUGGCAAUUCUAGAGCUAAUACGUGCGAUUAAGCUCCGACCCCGGGAUGCCUUCAUCGGCGUUUCGGGGGAAGAGCGCAGUUAUUAGAAUCAUAAACCGAGCGGACUCUCGGGUCCGUCCCAAAAAUCGGUUAUGAUGACUCUGGAUAACUUUGCCGAGCGAUUAGGCCUUCGAGCCGUCGCUGCAUCUUUCGAGUGACUGCCUUAUCAGCUUUCGAUUGUAGGCUAUACGCUUACGAUGGCUGUAACGGGUAACGGGGAAUCAGGGUUCGAUUCCGGAGAGGGAGCCUGAGAAACGGCUACCACAUCUAAGGAAGGCAGCAGGCACGCAAAUUACCCACUCCCGGCACGGGGAGGUAGUGACGAUAAAUAACGAUGCGGGACUCUUCCGAGGCCUCGCAAUCGGAAUGAGUUCACUCUAAAAACUUGGACGAGGAUCCAUUGGAGGGCAAGUCUGGUGCCAGCAGCCGCGGUAAUUCCAGCUCCAAUAGCGUAUAUUAAAGUUGCUGCGGUUAAAAAGCUCGUAGUUGGAUUUUCGGUCUGUACCGGCGGCCCACCCAAGGCGCGCCCCCGAAGACUUCCUAUCGGUUAGGGGGUGCGUUCUUCGGCGUAGUUCUUUUCGCUCGUACGUUAUUCAUUCGGCAGUUCGGUGAAAGGUGACGUAAAGGGGGUGUGAGGAUUUUUAUUAAUCUUCCACCCUUGUCUCCGCUCGAGCUAUCCCCGAUGAUGACUACACGACGAAAUCCUACGUCAAGAAACGUAUCCACCCCCGCCGGGGAAGUCUAGUGGGUCUCCGCGCCCGGUGGUCAAACCGUCCGGCUACGGAUUUGUUAAAAUCCGUCGGCUCUCACGGGGUGCUCUUUACCGAGUGUCUCGCGUGGCCGACGACGUUCACUUUGAAAAAAUUAGAGUGCUCAAAGCAGGCCAAAAAUCUUAGCCUGAAUUAUGAUGCAUGGAAUGAUGGAACAGGACCUCGGUUCUGCAUCUUUUCUCUCGGUUUUAAUAGAACCCGAGGUAAUGAUUAACGGGAACGGACGGGGGCAUUAGUAUUGCGACGCUAGAGGUGAAAUUCUUGGACCGUCGCAAGACUAACUACUGCGAAAGCAUUUGCCAAGAACGCUUUCAUUAAUCAAGAACGAAAGUUAGAGGAUCGAAGGCGAUCAGAUACCGCCCUAGUUCUAACCUUAAACGAUGCUGACUAGCGAUCCGCUUAAGUCAUUCCCACGACUGAGCGGGCAGCCCCCGGGAAACCGAAGUUUUUGGGUUCCGGGGGAAGUAUGGUUGCAAAGCUGAAACUUAAAGGAAUUGACGGAAGGGCACCACCAGGAGUGGAGCCUGCGGCUUAAUUUGACUCAACACGGGGAACCUCACCAGGCCCAGACACCGGAAGGAUUGACAGAUUGAGAGCUCUUUCUCGAUUCGGUGGUUGGUGGUGCAUGGCCGUUCUUAGUUGGUGGAGCGAUCUGUCUGGUUGAUUCCGAUAACGAACGAGACUCUACCCUACUAACUAGUCGGUGGAUCGUUUCCCGAGACGGGUUUACCCUCCCGGGGGGUUUCGGCGCGGGGUUCUUGCCUGCGUUCCGCUUCCUCUGCUGGGCGGCGUCCUCUCGUCCUACCUCCUCAUGAAUUGCGAGCCUGCUACGGCCCGUCGGUGUGUCGGCCUUCGGGGCGAAUCUCUCGGCGUGGGCGUACGGCCGCUAUCAUGAUGGGCGGUGGUUCGGGGUUCGGGGCGUCGUUUGGUGGAUGCAUGAUGAGCGUUUUGGCUACCUCGCGUUCGCUGUAUUCCUCCCGCGGAGGGCCCAACGAGGGGCGUCCAUCGCAACGUCUUCUUAGAGGGAUCGGCGGCGUCUAGCCGCACGAGAGAGAGCAAUAACAGGUCUGUGAUGCCCUUAGAUGUUCUGGGCCGCACGCGCGCUACAAUGCAGGGAGCAGCGUGCUUUCCCACUCCGAAAGGAGCGGGUAACCCGGUGAAACCCCUUCCCGAUUGGGAUUGGGGCUUGCAAGUGUUUCCCAUGAACGAGGAAUUCCCAGUAAGCGUAAGUCAUCAGUUUGCGAUGAUUACGUCCCUGCCCUUUGUACACACCGCCCGUCGCUACUACCGAUUGAAUGAUUCAGUGAGGGCGUCGGACCAGCGCCCUCGGCAGCUCUCGGAUCGACCGUUCCGUUCAAAAGGAAGACCCCUAACUUUUCCUUCGGGUUCAGCUAUGUCUUUCUGGAACCGACCGAAUGGGCGCCCCGGGCAAGCCGGAAAGACGUCCGAACUUGAUCAUUUAGAGGAAGUAAAAGUCGUAACAAGGUAGCCGUANGUGAACUG
rnacentral:rRNA from 1 species